rnacentral:snRNA from 1 species
AUACUUACCUGGCAGGGGAGAUAUUAUGACCAUGAAGGUGGUUUUCCCCUGGGUAAGACUGAUCCAUUGCUCUGGGAAUCUGCUGACCUAUGUGAUUUCCCCACAUGGGGGAAAUUCUACUGCAUAAUUUGUGUUGGUGGGGGGUUGCAUUUGUGCUUUCCUCUG